rnacentral:misc_RNA from 1 species
UCAAACUUGGUCAUUUAGAGGAAGUAAAAGUCGUAACAAGGUCUCCGUUGGUGAACCAGCGGAGGGAUCAUUACCGAGUUAUCCAAAACUCCAAACCCUUUGUGAACCUUACCACCGUUUCCUCGGCGAGCCGCGGCUACCCUGUAGCUAGCCCGCACCCGCUAAUGGCUCGCCGGAGGACUACCAAACUCUGCUUUCCCCGGGAAUAUCUGAAUGCUUCAACUGAAAUAAGUUAAAACUUUCAACAACGGAUCUCUUGGUUCUGGCAUCGAUGAAGAACGCAGC